ensembl:lncRNA
CCUGUGUAUAGCUAUGUCUCACUCCCUGUGGCAUAGCUAGGUCUCUCUCUCUCCCUGUGGCAUAGAUAGAUCUCUCUCUCUCUCCCUUUGGCAUAGCUAGGUCUCUCCCUCUCCCUGUGGCAUAGCUAGGUCUCUCCCUCUCACUGUGGCAUGGCUAUGUCUCUCCCUCUCCCUGUGGCAUGGCUAUGUCUCUCCCCCUCCCUGUGGCAUAGCUAUGUCUCUCCCCGUCCGUGUGGCAUAGCUAGGUCUCUCUCUCUCCCUGUGUAUAGCUAGGUCUCUCUCUCUCCCUGUGGCAUAGCUAUGUCUCUCUCCCUGUGGCAUGGCUAUGUCUCUCUCCCUGUGUAUAGCUAGGUCUCUCUCCCUGUGGCAUGGCUAUGUCUGUCUCCCUGUGGCAUAGCUAGGUCUCUCUCUCUCCCUGUGUAUAGCUAUGUCUCUCUCCCUGUGGAAUAGCUAGGUCUCUCUCUCUCCCUGUGGCAUAGCUAUGUCUCUCUCCCUGUGGAAUAACUAUGUCUCUCUCCCUGUGGAAUAGCUAGGUCUCUCUCUCUCCCUGUGGAAUAGCUAGGUCUCUCUCUCUCCCUGUGGCAUAGCUAGGUCUCUCUCCCUGUGGCAUGGCUAUGUCUCUCUCCCUGUGGAAUAGCUAGGUCUCUCUCUCCCUGUGGCAUAGCU